UGGUUAUUAUUGUGAUGCUUAAUACUCAAGUGUACGCUUAGAACAGGUGCUAAUCUAGUGGAUACCUAUUUUAAGUAAUGAACUUGUUGCUGAAAAUGUUAUAAAUGUGUUACUCAAAACUCAAGCUUUUUAUGCAGAAUGUGAGUCAAACCAGCCCACAAAUAUUAUCCUUGCAUACUCCUUGGUGUCACUUUAUUUCUGGUUUAUGACGGGUAAGUCUAGCUGAGUACAUUCUCGUACUCAGGGUUUUAUUUACCCUUGUUGCUGAUGAUGACGUGAAUCAUGGCUACUGUGCUAACUGUCACCAUUCGGCUGCGGAUGAUGAGUAGAUCUAGGGCAAGAUCACCUCUUGUAUCUUCGGUUGUGCUUUUGUUGGGAUGAUCAUGGAGCUAGCAUGUAAUUAAACUAAGUGUGUGUGUUGUUUCAAAACUACUUUGCUUCCGCUACUGAACUAUGUUGUAAUAACUUUAUUUGAACUCCGAUGUGUGUAAAACUAUGUUCUGUGAUGAAUGAUUGUAAUCUAUGAUGGAGAUGCUUGAUCAUGUACGGUCUUGGUUGUAUGUUGGUCUGACUACUCUUGUGGUCGCUAAUUCACUUGAAUUCUUAUAAAUUGGUCGGUUCUGUUACAGCUGGCAUUAGAGCAAGAUUAAGUAUUUAACCAUCAUAGAUGUAUUUAAAAACAAAUGAAUUUGUUUGUCCCAAACCAAUUGGCAACUUAGAAUAUUUUAAAAGGAUUGAACAAAAUAUACCAUGCCAGUGGUCAUACCCUUUAUGUCCGCUUAAGGACUUCUAGGUGGCUAAGUACUACUAACAAGUGGGUUUUUCCUUUCGUUGUCCAUACGGCGUGUAAUAGUAUGGAUGCCACUUACUUGAGUUGUAAUGAAUGGAUCAUAUACCUCUACACCACGGUAAGCAAUAUUUUCCUUUUAUCGUCCAUAUGGCGUGUAAUAGUAUGGGUGUUGAUAUUUGGGAACGCAAUAAGGAAUUGAUCGGCAAGCGCACGGAUAUCGGUGAGCACUUCACCCGGGAAAUUAUCCAGAGUAUCGUAUUUACUUUUUUACCACUAGGAGAAAGAGUGCAUCUGACUAACCGGUCUAUUACUACUAACCCUUUAGGCAACAAAGAAUGUCUCUCGAUGUGAGUGAUAAAUAGAGAUGACUGCAACCGUAGUCUCCUUCUAACCUUGGUAAGGAUGAUCUACUAUUCUAUUGGGGAGGCUAACAGAAUCUAGACACCACAAAGGAUGUUCAACCCGCACCUAUAAACCCUAUCCUUCCUGCUAACG
rnacentral:lncRNA from 1 species